rnacentral:rRNA from 1 species
UUAGGAAUUUUGCGCAAUGGGGGAAACCCUGACGCAGCAACGCCGCGUGGGUGAAGAAGGCCUUCGGGUUGUAAAGCCCUUUUGGCAGGGAAAAAAUCAAUGAUGGUACCUGCAGAAGAAGCACCGGCAAACUACGUGCCAGCAGCCGCGGUAAUACGUAGGGUGCAAGCGUUAUUCGGAUUUAUUGGGCGUAAAGCGCUCGUAGGCGGUCUUACAAGUCUGAUGUGAAAUCCCUGGACUCAAUCCAGGAAGUGCAUUGGAUACUGUAAGACUAGAGUAUAGGAGGGGUGAGUGGAAUUCCUGGUGUAGAGGUGAAAUUCGUAGAUAUCAGGAGGAACAACAGUGGCGAAGGCGACUCACUGGACUAUAACUGACGCUGAGGAGCGAAAGCGUGGGUAGCAAACAGG